UGGCAAUGGAGAAAGUUCCUGGCCCUGGGGCAUGGCCUAAAACUACACCCUUCUGGGGUUGGAGGGUGUGGUGGGGCUGCCUGUGGCAAGGCAGUCUCCAGGAAAUGCCACACCAGGGGUUUCCCCAGUGAAG